UACGUAGGUGACCAGCGUUGUCCGGAUUUACUGGGCGUAAAGAGCGCGCAGGCGGUCGUUCAAGUCGAGUGUGAAAGCCCCCGGCUCAACUGGGGAGGGUCACUCGAUACUGAUCGACUUGAAGGCAGGAGAGGGAAGCGGAAUUCCCGGUGUAGUGGUGAAAUGCGUAGAUAUCGGGAGGAACACCAGUGGCGAAGGCGACUUCCUGGCCUGUUCUUGACGCUGAGGCGCGAAAGCUAGGGGAGCAAACGGG
rnacentral:rRNA from 1 species